AAUGGAACGUUUGUAUAACGGAAGUAGGAAUACGUUGUACAGUUCGUAUUUCCGGUUGCGGAUCACGAGCCUGAGACGCGAGUGUUAGCGGUUUGGGCUUCCAGUAGGCGUUCAAGUCAAAAACCUGGGCACUGUGGCUACGUCUGAUUGAUUAAAAUGAACACACAGCUUGGAUUUCAGCAGCAACAUCAUCAUGUUUUCCACAGACAACCAGAGGGGCUGUCAGUGUUUCAUGAAGUUGUUCGACCUGAGGGAUCCACAGAUCGUUUAUUUGUCAAUAUUCCGGAGAAGUCCUGAAGAAAGCUAAGGAGCACAGCAGGCACAUCAACGCCAUCCAGACGUCUGUAGACAUCACCAUGUUCAUCAGUGCUUCAAAGAACAACACCACCAAGGUUCUUCCAAGCUGUGAACGAGGAGCAGUUUGACAGGAGUCAAAGGUCAUUUUGGUCCCAUCAACUGUGUGGCUUUCCACCCUGACGGCAAGAAAUAGAGGAACAAUGGAGGAGAAGGCCUGUGAACACAGCAGCUUGGACUCUGCCAGGUAGAGUGAAUGAGCAACUUUGUUUGAAGUAGAUCACUUGUUUGCUGGACUUGUGAGUGUUUUACUGAAUUGUGUAAUUGCUUGAGGAAAGUGUUCAUUCAAGCUCAUUCUAUUCAUUGUGCCUUAAUGCUAUUGUCAGGUACUUAACAGUGUCACUUUUUGGCAACACUUAGUCAUUUUUUUGGCCAUUGCACUUUGAUUGUGAGCUGUAUGUGACUGUAAACCUUACAGAAUAAAGAAAAUGGUUGAAAACACU